rnacentral:rRNA from 1 species
GGAGUUCGAUUCUGGCUCAGAUUGAACGCUGGCGGGAUGCUUUACACAUGCAAGUCGAACGGCAGCACGGACUUCGUCCUGGUGGCGAGUGGCGAACGGGUGAGUAAUGUAUCCGGAACGUGCCUAGUAGCCCCGCAUGAGGGAUAACUACGCGAAAGCGUAUCAGCCACCGCAUACGCCCUUCGGGGAAAGCAGGGGGACCUUCGGGCCUCGCACUGGCCGACAGCCGAUAUCGGAUUGGCUGAAUUGGUGGGGUAACGGCUCACCAAGGCGACGAUCCGUAGCUGGUUUGAGGAAGGACGACCAGCCACCCUGGGACUACAGGUUACGGCCCAGACUCCUACGAGGCAGCGGUGGGAAUUUUGGACAAUGGGGAAACCUGAUCCAGCCAUCGCAUUAUUGCGAUGAAGGCCUUCGGGUUGUAAGCACUUGCGGCAGGAAAGAAACGGCCUGGGAUAUUACCCCGUGCAACUGACAGUACCUGCAGAUAAGCACCGGCUAACUACGUGCCAGCAGCCGCGGUAAUACGUAGGGUGCAAAGGCGUUAAUCGGAAUUACUGGGCGUAAAGCGUGCGCAGGCGGUUCGGAAGAAAGAUGUGAAAUCCCGGGCUGCUUUGGAACUGCAUUUUUAACUACCGAGCUAGAGUGUGUCAGGGAAAUUUGAAUUCCCGCCGAUAGCAGUGAAAUGCCGUAGAUAUGCGGAGGAACACACCGAUGGCGAAGGCAGCCUCCUGGGAUAACACUGACGCUCAUGCACGAAAAGCGUGGGGAGCAAACAGGAUUAGAUGCCCUGGUAGUCCACGCCCUAAACGAUGUCAACUAGCUGUUGGGGCCUUCCGGGCCUUGGUAGAAGCGCAACUAACGCGUGAAGUUGACCGCCUGGGGAGAGUACGGUCGCAAGAUUAAAACUCAAAGGAAUUGACGGGACCCACAAGCGGUGGAUGAUGUGGAUUAAUUCGAUGCAACGCGAAAAACCGCCACCUACCCUUGACAUGUCACGAUCCCGAAAGAGAUUUGGGAGUGCUCGCAAGAGAACCGGAACACAGGUGCUGCAUGGCUGUCGUCAGCUCGUGUCGUGAGAUGUUGGGUUAAGUCCCGCAACGAGCGCAACCCUUGUCAUUAGUUGCUACAGAAAGGGCACUCCUAAUGAGACUGCCGGUGACAAACCGGAGGAAGGUGGGGAUGGCGUCAAGUCCUCACAUGGCCCUUAUGGUGGGGCUUCACACGUCAUACAAUGGUCGGGACAGAGGGUCGCCAACCCGCGAGGAGCCAAUCCCGAAACCCGAUCGUAGUCCGGAUCGCAGUCUGCAACUCGACUGCGUGAAGUCGGAAUCGCUAGUAAUCGCGGAUCAGCAUGUCGCGGUGAAUACGUUCCCGGGUCUUGUACACACCGCCCGUCACACCAUGGGAGUGGGUUUUACCCGAAGUAGUUAGCCUAACCGUAGGGGGCGAUUACCUGAUAGGAUUCAUGACUGGGGUGAAGUCCUUAACUACAAGGUAG